GACGAACGCUGGCGGCGCGCUUAACACAUGCAAGUCGAACGGAAAGGCCUGCUUUCCCUUGUGGAUUGCGGGUACUCGAGUGGCGAACGGGUGAGUAACACGUGAGUGAUCUGCCCCCAACUUGGGUAUAAGCCUGGGAAACUGGGUCUAAUUCCCGAUAGGACUGCAGGGUGGUGCCUGUGGUGGAAAACGAUUUUCUAGUGGUUGGGGAUGAGCUCGCGGCCUAUCAGCUUGUUGGUGGGGUAAUGGCCUACCAAGGCGGCGACGGGUAGCCGGCCUGAGAGGGUGGACGGCCACAUUGGGACUGAGAUACGGCCCAGACGCCUACGGGAGGCAGCAGUGGGGAAUAUUGCACAAUGGGCGGAAGCCUGAUGCAGCGACGCCGCGUGGGGGAUGACGGCCUUCGGGUGGUAAACUCCUUUCGACCGCGAGGAAGCCACCUGGUUGGAAGGGUGGUGACGGUAGUGGUAGAAGAAGCACCGGCUAACUACGUG
rnacentral:rRNA from 1 species